UACGAAGGGUGCAAGCGUUACUCGGAAUUACUGGGCGUAAAGCGUGCGUAGGUGGUUCGUUAAGUCUGAUGUGAAAGCCCUGGGCUCAACCUGGGAAUUGCAUUGGAUACUGGCGGGCUAGAGUACGGUAGAGGGUGGCGGAAUUCCUGGUGUAGCAGUGAAAUGCGUAGAUAUCAGGAGGAACAUCCGUGGCGAAGGCGGCCACCUGGACCAUAACUGACGCUGAGGCGCGAAAGCUAGGGGAGCAAACAGG
rnacentral:rRNA from 1 species